rnacentral:rRNA from 1 species
GACGAACGCUGGCGGCGUGCCUAACACAUGCAAGUCGAGCGAAUGAAGUUCCUUCGGGAACGGAUUUAGCGGCGGACGGGUGAGUAACACGUGGGCAACCUGCCUCAUAGAGGGGAAUAGCCUUCCGAAAGGGAGAUUAAUACCGCAUAAGAUUGUAGUACCGCAUGGUACAGCAAUUAAAGGAGCAAUCCGCUAUGAGAUGGGCCCGCGGCGCAUUAGCUAGUUGGUGAGGUAACGGCUCACCAAGGCGACGAUGCGUAGCCGACCUGAGAGGGUGAUCGGCCACAUUGGGACUGAGACACGGCCCAGACUCCUACGGGAGGCAGCAGUGGGGAAUAUUGCACAAUGGGGGAAACCCUGAUGCAGCAACGCCGCGUGAGUGAUGACGGCCUCGGUUGUAAGCUCUGUCUUCUAGGACGGAUAAUGACGGUACCUGAGGAGGAAGCCACGGCUAACUACGUGCCAGCAGCCGCGGUAAUGAGUAGUA